UUGAAGUGUUGCCCACAAAACUGAAAAAGUCU
rnacentral:piRNA from 1 species